rnacentral:rRNA from 1 species
CCUACGGGAGGCAUCAGUGAGGAAUAUUGGUCAAUGGACGAGAGUCUGAACCAGCCAAGUAGCGUGAAGGAUGACUGCCCUAUGGGUUGUAAACUUCUUUUAUAAAGGAAUAAAACGAGCCACGUGUGCCUUUUCGCAUGUACUUUAUGAAUAAGGAUCGGCUAACUCCGUGCCCGCAGCCGCGGUAAUACGGAGGAUCCGAGCGUUUUCCGGAUUUAUUGGGUUUAAAGGGAGCGUAAAUGGGUUGUUAAGGCAGUUGUGAAAGUUUACGGGUAAACCGUAAAAUUGCAAUUGAUACUGGCAGUCUUGAGUACAGUAGAGGUAAGCGGAAUGCGUGGUGUAGCGGUGAAAUGUAUAGAGAUCACGAAGAACCCCGAUUGCGAAGGCAGUAUAC